rnacentral:rRNA from 1 species
UACGGGGGGGGCAAGCGUUGUUCGGAAUUACUGGGCGUAAAGGGCGCGUAGGCGGCCUUCUAAGUCGGACGUGAAAUCCCUCGGCUUAACCGAGGAACUGCCCUCCAAACUGCUUGGCUUGAGUCCGGGAGAGGUGAGUGGAAUUCCCAGUGUAGCGGUGAAAUGCGUAGAUAUUGGGAGGAACACCAGUGGCGAAGGCGGCUCACUGGACCGGAACUGACGCUGAGGCGCGAAAGCGUGGGGAGCAAACGGG